UUUGGUCAGUCACAUCACACAUCAGGUAUGUAUCUCUGUAUUCCAUUAGGCUGAUAUAUAUACUUUGCAUGGCACUGCCUGACAUUGAGUGAGAUGUACUCACAUGCUGCUUGAGUUCCACUUUCACCUACAGGUUCAACACUACAUAGAAGGCUUCUAGCUUCAUUUAAAGAUGACAGACCUAGGCCAUCAACAUCUGGCCAGUUACAGCACACAUCAGGUUCAAUACUACAAUGAGGGCUUCUAGCCUCAUCCAAAGAUGGAAGACCUGGGCCAUGAAUACCUGGUCAAUCACACCACAAAUCAGGU